rnacentral:misc_RNA from 1 species
UAAAAAAAAAAAAAAAAAGACUUUAAGACUUGACAAACUUCAUGUUUCUUUCCUAUUAUCACAAGGGAACAGAAAAUCUUUCUAUCAUUUAGUAUACUCGUACAUGCCUUUGGGACAAGGAUAAGCAAAUGACAUACUUAACACCUAAAAGACUGACCACAAUAUUACAUUAUAGAGACUGAGUCAUCAAGUUGAAUUACAUUGUAGAGAAAUAAUAAUCUCCUACAAUAUUCAUUUUAUGUUAAUGAACAGAUACAUAUUAGAUCAGAAAAAAAGGCUAGAAAUGAAAUGGUAUUUGAAAAAAUGUCAAAAAUUAUGAGAUAAGGAAGGUCAAAUCCUCAAACAGAACCAACUAACUAAAAAUAAUAGAAUGAAGAAAAGCUACAAGUAUGUAUUUUAGUGCUGCAUAAAAUAUGAAAGCCUAUGGUCUAUGUCAUUUAAAGGAAAGUGAUCAUGCAAUUGAUUUAAGAUAAUUUUGAACAGAGGUUACAUUUAUUUAAAAACAAAGUUUACUAAUUAGACAAUGAAAACAAGAAUGUUGUGGGACUACUGCCUACCAUCUUGAGACGUUGAGAAAUUGAAACUUUGGAAAUUAUGCCUGUUAAAGAUCUGAUCAGUGGGGUGAGGUCUCUGCAUGAAGUCAUCCACU